GGGCCCGCACAAGCGGUGGAGUAUGUGGUUUAAUUCGAUGCAACGCGAAGAACCUUACCAGGGUUUGACAUCCUGCGAAUUUCUGGGAAACCGGAAAGUGCCUUCGGGAGCGCAGUGACAGGUGGUGCAUGGCUGUCGUCAGCUCGUGUCGUGAGAUGUUGGGUUAAGUCCCGCAACGAGCGCAACCCACGUCUUUAGUUGCCAGCAUUUAGUUGGGCACUCUAGAGAGACCGCCGGUGAUAAACCGGAGGAAGGUGUGGAUGACGUCAAGUCAUCAUGCCCCUUACAUCCUGGGCUACACACGUACUACAAUGCUACGGACAAAGGGCAGCAAACUCGCGAGAGCUAGCAAAUCCCAUAAACCGUGGCUCAGUUCAGAUCGUAGGCUGCAACUCGCCUACGUGAAGGCGGAAUCGCUAGUAAUCGCGUAA
rnacentral:rRNA from 1 species